rnacentral:rRNA from 1 species
GUGGGGAAUAUUGGACAAUGGGGGGAACCCUGAUCCAGCCAUGUCGCGUGUGUGAAGAAGGCCUUUUGGUUGUAAAGCACUUUAAGCGAGGAGGAGGCUACCGAGAUUAAUACUCUUGGAUAGUGGACGUUACUCGCAGAAUAAGCACCGGCUAACUCUGUGCCAGCAGCCGCGGUAAUACAGAGGGUGCAAGCGUUAAUCGGAUUUACUGGGCGUAAAGCGCGCGAAGGUGGCCAAUUAAGUCAAAUGUGAAAUCCCCGAGCGUAACUUGGGAAUUGCAUUCGAUACUGGUUGGCUAGAGUAUUGGAGAGGAUGGUAGAAUUCCAGGUGUAGCGGUGAAAUGCGUAGAGAUCUGGAGGAAUACCGAUGGCGAAGGCAGCCAUCUGGCCUAAUACUGACACUGAGGUGCGAAAGCAUGGGGAGCAAACAGGAUUAGAAACCCUGGUAGUCC